rnacentral:rRNA from 1 species
UACGUAGGGGGCGAGCGUUGUCCGAAGUUACUGGGCGUAAAGCGCGCGUAGGCGGGAAAUUAAGUGAGAAGUGAAAGGCUGGGGCUCAACCUCAUGCAGUGCUUCUCAUACUGGUUUUCUUGAGGGCGGUAGAGAAAAGUGGAAUGGCUGGUGUAGCGGUGAAAUGCGUAGAUAUCUGAAGGAACAUCAGUGGCGAAGGCGGCUUCCUGGUCCAGCACCGACGUUCAGGCACGAAAGCGUGGGGAGCAAACAGG